GGAGCAAAAAAAAAAAAAAAAAAAAAAAAAACACCAACAAAAACCAUCAGGUUGAACAGAUUUUAAAUUAUGAAAAAAAAAAAUAAGUUGUGAAAACAUCUGGGGUGGCUGCUACAGCUUGUUAUGUUUAUAAAACAUGUUGGAACCGGCGGGGGCCACGCACACUGUACAUUUUUUGGCAGCUUAGAAAUCAUGUGUAAAACUGUAACUUUUAUGAAAUGGUAAGUGUUUAUGGAAGCUUAGGGGGCGGGGAGGUAGACAUCGGAGCGGGCCCUGCACUUCCUGAAGUCUUUUCCCACAGUUUCUAGGGCAGGGUUUUGUUUUGUUUUGACUGGUAUUUUUUCUUUCUUUUCCAACAAGGGGAAGUGCCUUGUCCCUGGUUCGAUUCGUUCUAGACCAGGCAGGUGCAUGGCUGCCGCCCUGAUUCGGUCACGCUUGGGUUUUACGGUGCGGUAUUGCUUCCAACCGUGUGGGAGUUUACCCUUGGUUCUUACUUCACGCCAUGUCCUCUCCCCACAUCCACUCAACCGGAGAGUCUGUGCGCGCGUGUUUGCUCAGCUGAGUUCCAACUCAGUGCGUCCGGAGGGUUGGGGGGGGGAGGGUUGGAGUCGGAAUUCAGCAGUUGCAGGCGACAAGGGGCCUCGUGCUGGCUGAGGGGAGACUAUUUCGGAGAUGCCCCAGAGGCAGAGAUCUUUGCAGGGUGAACGAAGAGACUCAGACUAGAAGUCAAGCCCCAGUUGUCUCUUGCCCCUUGGGGCCGAUUCAGGGGGCCUCCUGGUCUGUAGGCUAAGUCGGAGAUCCUAUGCUUAACACUGUUUCUUGCAUUAUGCUUUAGAUCAGUAAGUGAGAGCUUCCUGAAGGAAGGGAUGAACUUCCUUAGGUCUGCUUCUUUCUUAAGACCAGCAUUCCAAGCGUUUGUCAGAUGUUGGAUGAAUGAACCCAUCAAUGAACGAUACCUUAGGAUUUACUUUGCAUUACCUAAGACGCUUAGCAGCAUCAAGUGCGAAAUCUAAGAACUACAGAACCCCGUCGUUCCAUGACAUGGCCAUUGAGAUGCCAGCUCUUUGUUACUAAGGAUGCCUUCUCAAACCUGACCACUGUCAGCCGGCCAGGGUGUCUCAUUCUCUUUGUGACCACUGGGCAGCUCCCUGGAGAAGAGAGGACCCCCACGGGGGUUGUGCUCACAGGCGGUGCUGAUUGUUGUUCUUUUUUUGUCUUUUUUCGUCUUUUUUUGUUGGGUCCAUCUCAUGGAGAUGACGUCAUGUGUGCACGGUGAUGCCCACGCCGCUUCGUCGUAGAAGCUCAGUGCGUGAGAGCUUUCAUACAACCGCAUCAGGACCCUGUAUGAUCAUCUGUGGGGCCCAGUGCAAAGGGAAACUGUGAGGCUCCUCGAUCACAACUGAAGAACUUCAAGGGGAUGACAGCAAAGCCUUAACCAAGCACAGAGCCCUUCUGAGCAGGUGCCCCCUCUAGGCGGGGGCCUCGUGCAGCUGCUCAGGCCACAGGCCCAGGAAGCCGGCCCCGCCGGUGUUGUCACCACAUCUGCUGGCGGCAGGCCCACUGCUACGGCCUCUACCUCCUUCCCCAUCUUCCUCUUCCUCCACAAGGCAUUAUGCAAGAGUCUCUUACCCGGCUUCCUGUCUCAUCAUUCCCUUUGCCCCAACUCUUUCACUCAGGUCUCUAAUCUCUACUCCUCAUAUCAUACUUAAGAGAAAGGGUGUAGCAAUAGAAUGACUCAGAGAGGUGAACUGAAUUGGCUAAGACCACAUGGAAGGUUGGUGGCUGCUAUGGACUCAGUUGUGCCCCGCCCCUCAGUUCGUAUUUUGAAGCCCGAACCCCAGUAUGACUAGACUCGGAGACAGGACCUUUAUGGAGGUAACUGACGUUAGAGAAGGUCAUGAGGAUGGGGCCCCGAUCCAAUAGGACUGGUGUCAUUAUAAGACAGAGACACCCGGACAGCUCUCUUUCUCACCAUGUGCACACAGAGGAUAGGCCGUGUGAAGGCCCGGCGAGAAGGCACCUGUCUGCAAGUCAGGAAGAUUUCUCAUCGGAAACCAAAUUUGCUGGACCUUGAUCCUGAGCUUCUGGCCUCCAGAAUUUGGAGAAAAUCAACUUCUGUUGUUUAAGCUUCCCAGUCUGUGAUAUUUUAUGCUAGCAGUUCGAGCAGACUGAUAGAGCGGCAGAGCUUGGAUUGCAGCCUAGCAGGAACUUCUCAGUUUGCCUAUAAAGUCCAUGCAGAUGGUGACCGAGGCUUUUACUUCUCCUGCGUCUUCCAUUGACUCCAUGCAGGAUGCAUGAGCAUGCAUGGAGAGGCAAAGUGACAGCGAAUGCACGCCCGAGGGACAGAAGAAAGUCACUGAUGCUCCCUUAGCUGGUAUCUUUGAUAACUUCGGUUCUGGAUAUCUAGCCAGGGCUACUUAACAAAUCACCACAUAAUGUAAUCUGAUGGCUUAAAACAGCGACAACUAUGAGCUUGCCCAGGAUUCUGUAAUUUAGGCAGCACGCCAAAGGGAGAGCUCGUCUCUGCUCCAUGUGGCCUCAGCUGGAAUGGCUCCUAAGUGGCUGGAGGGUCCACCUCUCAGAUGGCUUACUCCCACGGACGGCAAAUUGGAAUGCUGGCUGUCUGCGAGGAGCUCAGCGGAGGCUAUCCACCGUGUCUGGUUUCUACCUCACGGGUCCUCUUCCCCCCUGGGCUGGACUUUUGACAGCAUGGCAGCUGGGAACCCAGAGGGAGCAGCCUAACAGCAAAUGUUCUAAGCGGACAAGUCCCAAUGUCCAAGCUUGCAUUGCCCAAUAGAGUAGCCACCAGCCACAUGUGCCUACAGGGCACUUGAAGGUUAGUCUGAAUCAAGAUGUGCUUUAAGGGCAAAAUACACACUAAGUUUGCAAACUUACUCUGAAAAAUAGAAGGAAAAAUGUCACUAGGACCUUUUUUCAAUAUUGAUCACAUUUUUGAAUAAUAUUUUAGAUAUAUUGGGUUAAAUAAAAUAUACUACUAAAAUUGA